AGGCAAGAGGCUUCUCACUUGUGUGUGUUCCGGUGUGUGUUUUUAAGGUUUUCUUCUGAGAGAAUCUUUGGCCACAAUCUGAACAAGCAAAAGGUUUCUCACCAGUGUGUAUUCUUUUGUGAACAUUUAAGUGUCCCACCCGAGAGAAUCUUUGGUAACAAACUGAGCAGGCAAACGGUUUCUCACCAGUGUGGGUUCUUUUAUGAACAUUUAAGUCUCCCUUUCGAGAAAAUCUUUGGCCACUAACUGUGCAGGCAAAACGUUUCUCACCAGUGUGUAUUCUUUGAUGAAUAUUUAAGUGUCCCUUUUGAGAAAAUCUUUGGCCACAAACUGUGCAGGGAAAAGUUUCUCACCAGUGUAAGAGCUCAUAUGUCUUUUCAAAGAACUCUUCCAAGUAAACAUCUUCCCACACUGAGAAGAGUUGCAGGGUUUGUUGUCAGUGCGACAUGUCAGAUCACCAUCAGAUUCUUCAUUCUCCUCCUCCUCCUCAACGCUUGAUGAUGUGUCACCUGUGCUGUUGCAUUG